rnacentral:tRNA from 1 species
AAAGGGAGACCUAAUUCAGGUAGGAGACGAAAAAAAAGUAGUCGCUACCAAGAAUCAAUCCCAAAAGGUCGGAGCGAGGCGAAAUUGGCUUUCAAACUAGGUUCUGGGUUCACACAAGACCUGAAUCAGGAACAAGGGCUAUUAGCUCAGGUGGUUAGAGCGCACCCCUGAUAAGGGUGAGGUCCCUGGUUCGAGUCCAGGAUGGCCCACCUGCACAGGUGGCAAAAACAAGAGAAGCUCCGAAUCAGCACCUUAUCUUAUCUAUAUAUAUAUAGGAGAGAAUGCUGGCUCUGAGUAAAGAGUCCAGAGGAACCUUGAAAACUGCAUAGAGCUAGGUGAAAAAGCCAAAAAAGAAGACCGCAAG